CCUCCGCCGUGGAAAAGCAGACGGGCAAAGCAUAGGCAAGUUUGUACUUCCUCCCGCGGAGACAGCAGGCAGGAAAAGCAAGCUGGUAAGGCAUUGUAAGCUUUGUACUUCCUCCCGCGGAGACAGCAGGCAGGAAAAGCAGGCUGCUAGCGCAUUGGAAACUUUUGUACUCCCUCCCGCGGAGCCAGCAGGCAGGAAGGUUUGGGCUGCCACUGUAAAAGUAGGAACCAAGUAUCCAUAUUUUAAGCUGAUUUGGUGUUAAGUCCCGUCGGCACCAUGCCAACAGGCCCGCAUGCUGCCCACUGCUGGGCAGCGGGCGGGGCUGCCAUCCACAACGAGUUAAAUAGUUAAAGGGGGGAGUAGGGGAGAGGGCGCAAAAGAGGUUUCACUAAUACUUAAUUGCUAUGCAGUGCUGCCAGAAUGGCCCGAUGUUGGGCCGCCAUGCCCAGCUUGGAUAAGUGCACCCCGACGAGGUACUGGGCAAGGCCGAGGCUACGUCACUGCAGCCCGAGGUGUUAUAACUGGAGCCAAUCACCCACGACGGCCCUGUAAGCCAUAAUUUCACAUUAGAUUUGUGUGCCUAACAAAGGCAUACGAAUAUACGCCCUGUAGGCAUUAGAUCUCCAGUGACCAAAUUCCUGAAUCUGAACUGCCGGAAUUCCUUGUAACACUGCUGAGUUUGCUGCCCCUAACCGAAAUGAAUGAGAAGAAUAAAAGUUACUAUUGAUGGGUUGUUUUGCUGCCGUCAGCGUCUUCCUGAGCACUGCCUGAAACUGAAAUCUUGUUAGAGGAGCCGAGUUAGUAUGAGUAAAGAGAUACCCGUCUGUACAUGGUCGCACAGCCAAAAAUCGCUUUGACAGGGCAUAGUAUGGACUGAGGGACUGCCGUAAUGGCAAUGCGUGUGCCGCGGCCCUGCUGGUCUAGUUUUGGAGGCCUGUAGGACCACCUCCACGUAGGAUUGGUCGCUAGCAAAAGACAUGUCCUUCAGCAAAACAGCCCGCUGUGACGAGUCGCUUAUUGAACGGGCGACUACCUCCCUUACCCUGAAAAAAAAACAAAACAAAACAACAAAAAACAAA